rnacentral:sRNA from 1 species
UAUUUGCGUCAGGGAUAGUAGUAAAAAUCCCGCAGUAUUGUAUUGCUGAGCUACUCUACUGAGCUUGACGAAAGUGUUAUCUACGGAUAAAUAAUACGAGGAAUUGUAACGAAUAGCCCGCCCGGAC